rnacentral:rRNA from 1 species
UACGGAGGGUGCGAGCGUUGUCCGGAAUCACUGGGCGUAAAGGGCGCGUAGGUGGCGCGGGCAGUCAACGGUGAAAGUUCGGGGCUCAACCCUGAAUCGGCCGUCGAUACUCCUGGGCUCGAGCACUGUAGAGGCAGAUGGAAUUCCGGGUGUAGCGGUGGAAUGCGUAGAGAUCCGGAAGAACACCGGUGGCGAAGGCGGUCUGCUGGGCAGUUGCUGACACUGAGGCGCGACAGCGUGGGGAGCGAACAGG